CCUACGGGCGGCAGCAGUGGGGAAUAUUGGGCAAUGGGCGCAAGCCUGACCCAGCAAAGCCGCGUGAAGGAAGAAGGCUUUCGGGUUGUAAACUUCUUUUGACAGGGAAGAGUAGAAGACGGUACCUGUCGAAUAAGCCACGGCUAACUACGUGCCAGCAGCCGCGGUCAUACGUAGGUGGCAAGCGUUGUCCGGAUUUACUGGGUGUAAAGGGCGUGUAGCCGGGUUGACAAGUCAGAUGUGAAAUCCUGCGGCUUAACCGCAGAACUGCAUUUGAAACUGUUGAUCUUGAGUACUGGAGAGGCAGACGGAAUGCCUAGUGUAGCGGUGAAAUGCGUAGAUAUUAGGAGGAACACCAGUGGCGAAGGCGGUCUGCUGGACAGCAACUGACGGUGAGGCGCGAAAGCGUGGGGAGCGAACAGGAUUAGAUACCCGUGUAGUC
rnacentral:rRNA from 1 species